CCUUGCCCUUUCUGAUAAAACAUCUGAUCUUCUCUGAUUUCAGAAGCUAAGCCAGUUUGGGCCUGGUGAGCAUGUGGAUGGGGGUGCAAUAGAGAACACUUGGUACAGUGC
rnacentral:rRNA from 1 species